rnacentral:rRNA from 1 species
AGAGUUUGAUCCUGGCUCAGAGCGAACGCUGGCGGCAGGCCUAACACAUGCAAGUCGAACGAACUCUUCGGAGUUAGUGGCGGACGGGUGAGUAACACGUGGGAACGUGCCUUUAGGUUCGGAAUAACUCAGGGAAACUUGUGCUAAUACCGAAUGUGCCCUUCGGGGGAAAGAUUUAUCGCCUUUAGAGCGGCCCGCGUCUGAUUAGCUUGUUGGUGUGGUAAUGGCCCACCAAGGCUACGAUCAGUAGCUGGUCUGAGAGGAUGACCAGCCACAUUGGGACUGAGACACGGCCCAAACUCCUACGGGAGGCAGCAGUGGGGAAUCUUGCGCAAUGGGCGAAAGCCUGACGCAGCCAUGCCGCGUGUAUGAUGAAGGUCUUAGGAUUGUAAAAUACUUUCACCGGUGAAGAUAAUGACUGUAGCCGGAGAAGA